rnacentral:tRNA from 1 species
ACCUGGUUAGUAUGAUAUAAGUCUCAGUACGCCGAAUUUAGGAUUCGGAAGAAGGUAAUUCGCCUACUUGGUU